rnacentral:rRNA from 1 species
GCUUACGGCCAUAUCAGCCAGGGUGCCCUCGUCUGAUCUCGGAAGCUAAGCAGGGUCGGGCCUGGUUAGUACUUGGAUGGGAGACCGCCUGGGAAUACCAGGUGCUGUAAGCA